GGUUGCUAUAGUUGUCGAAAACAUAACUGAGGCUGCUGCAGACACAAAAGAAAACCAGAGGGACUUUUCCCAGUUGGUGAUAUGGAGCAAGUGCCAUCAGCAGGCAGACUCGUGCAGAUCACCGUGACAGAGGGAUAUGAUUUGAAAGGUUUUAAAGGAGAUACUCCAGUUACCUUUAUUCGGGCAGAAUUCAAUCAAGUGGUUCUGGGAGACUCCGCAAAAAUUACUGUUUCUCCAGAAGGAAGUGCAAAAUACAACUUCACUAGCAGUUUUGAGUUUAAUCCUGAAGGAGGAAUCACUUUAGAUGACCUCGCUCACAAACCUGUGUUCUUGACUGUGACUGAAGUUUUACCAAAGGAAAAGAAACAGAAAGAAGAGAAGACCUUAAUUCUUGGUCAGGCUGUGGUGGACCUUCUUCCCUUACUGGAAGUGCCGUCUUGAAGUUAAAGUAUUAGUGGCAGAGCCUUUACUGACCACAGCCCAGAUCUCAGGGGGCAAUCUACUGAAGGUCACGUUGGAAGCUGCUUACUCUGUGCCUGAAUCCUUCAUUCUAACAGGUCCUGGGCAGAACUACAUGGUCGGUCUGCAAGUUCCAUCACUUGGAGAGAAGGACUAUCCCAUUUUAUUUAAGAAUGGAACUCUGAAGCUUGGAGGUGAAAGGGAACCUGUUCCCCGGCCCAAAAAGUGGCCAAUUGCCAACAUUCUGGCUCCAGGAGCUAAUAACAUUCCUGAUGCAUUCAUUGUUGGUGGUCCCUAUGAAGAAGAAGAAGGAGAACUCAACCAUCCUGAGGACAGCGAAUUUAGGAAUCAAGCAGAGUGCAUAAAGAAAAGGAUUAUUUGGGACUUGGAAAGUCGCUGCUACCUUGAUCCUUCUGCAGUGGUCAGUUUUCAGAAGCGAAUUGCCGAUUGCCGGCUUUGGCCUGUAGAGAUCACAAGAGUUCCUCUGGUCACUGUACCCAAAGGGAAAGCUGGCAAAACUGAAAAGGUGUGAAGAGAAUUCGGGGAGCUUUUCAUGUUUACCCUUACCUAGACAGUGUAGUCCAUGAAAAGACCAAAUGUUUAUUGAGCUUGUUCCGGGAUAUUGGCCAUCACUUGAUUCAUAAUAAUAAAAUAGGAGGAAUUAAUUCUCUGCUGUCCAAACAAGCUGUUUCUAAGAAUCUGAAAGAAGAUAAACUGGUGAAAGAAAAGGAUAUAGAUGGAAGGCCUAGGCCUGGGGAUGUGCAGGCACCUAGUAUAAAAUCUCAGAGCUCAGAUACUCCUUUGGAAGGUGAACCCCCUCUAAGUCACAAUCCUGAAGGACAGCAAUAUGUAGAAGCAGGGACAUACGUUGUGUUGGAAAUUCAGCUGGACAAAGCCUUGGUUCCAAAGCGAAUGCCAGAGGAGCUAGCCAGAAGGGUCAAGGAAAUGAUUCCUCCAAGGCCUCCUCUUACCCGUCGGACAGGAGGAGCUCAGAAGGCAAUGAGUGACUACCACAUACAGAUCAAGAAUAUUUCUAGAGCCAUUCUAGAUGAGUACUACAGAAUGUUUGGAAAACAGGUGGCCAAACUGGAGAGUGAUAUGGAUAGUGAAACCUUGGAGGAGCAGAAGUGCCAGCUCAGCUAUGAACUUAAUUUCUCUGGAAAAUACUUUGCUUUCAAAGAACAACUCAAGCAUGCUGUGGUAAAGAUUGUGAGAGAUAAAUACUUGAAGACAACAUCAUUUGAAAGCCAGGAGGAACUGCAGACAUUUAUCAGUGAGCUCUAUGUGUUCUUAGUAGAUCAGAUGCAUGUAGCCCUAAACCAGGUAAGUGUCAAGAACUGAGAGCACUUUCUUUUCUCUGUAGAGUCUUCUAUGAAUGAUUCUUCCUUUGUUUAUUCAACAAAUAUUUAUUGAAGUGUCUGCUCUGUGCUAGGCACUGAAAACACAAAGAUGAGUAAGAAACUGCCUAAGCCUAAUUAGUUUAAGACUAAUUUUGGAAAAAAAAACAAGGAGAUAUGCUCUUUCAAUUUCCUAGAAAAAUAAAUUUCACAACUUUAAAAAAUGUGAUGGAAUUGUCAAAAAUAGAUAAAAUAGGUUGCAUAAAUUGUGAAAUGAAAAUUAUCAUUCUAUUUAUUCUGUGAACAGGUACAGUUCUUAAUUUUUUAUUGAAGAUCAUAAAAGCGGAGAAAAACUUUGAGUUUUCAGAUAUUAGACCCAAAUGACAGUGACACUUGAAACAUGCCUUUUCUGUUUGACUGGUGGUCUGCUGUCCCACCCACUUUUCUGUUUAUAUUUGUAAGUCUUGCAUCUUGCCUUCAUUUGCUUAUUUUUGUUUGUAUUCAGGGGUAGUUUAUUUGAAACCAGUGACAAAGUCACAGUCUUUUUGUCCCCUGGUAGUGUCUAACCAUCUGUGCCUCCUCAAAUUCUUUAUUCUAUUUGCUUUUCCCUUCCUUGUUUUUCUUCUCUACCACCAUCACCUCUUGUUUCACUUUGUUCUGUCUUCCUGGAGGAGGUAGGACAGGAGUGUCCAGCAUCAAAGGAUUAAGAGAACAGUCCUGCCUUGGGCAUGGAUGAUUUGAUUUGAAAAGCAAUUGAGAGUGGAGCAUGAGAAAAAGAAGUUUUGACUUUUUCCUCACUAGUAGUUGGGAGCAAUACAGUGAAUUAUUUUACACUGAGGUAUAACAUGAUCAGGUUUACAUUUGCUAAAACACUCUGAUAGCACUAUGGAGGAUGAGUUAGAGGUGACAAAACUGUGAUGUUAGUUGAUUAUUGCAUAAUAAGGAGGAAAAAGUUUAAGUUAAGUUUCAAUGGGUAAUUGAUACCAUUCAGUACUUCUUGGUUGAUACUAAAAAGAAAAGAAAAACAUUAACCAGGACAUGGAAUGCAAUUAUGAGUAAAUUUGGUGGGAGGCAGAUGGUACUGAAUUCGCUUUUGAACAUAGGCUCUAGUGGGGUUUUGCCCAAGAUAGAGAUCUGAGCUAGAGAUGAGAUUUGGGGAGCCAUGAUAUAUGGAUGCUAUGGUCAUAGAUGAGCUGCCUGAGAAAAACAUAAGAGAGAAGAGAGCUGGCAGUAGAACUCUAGGAAAUACCAACAUUUAAGGACUGAAUGAAAAAUUGAAAGAGACAAGUGGGAUUGUUAAAGAGGCAAAGAGCCAGAGACAAUGGUGUCACAGAAGCCAAAGGAAAAGAAUUUUAAGGAAAAGUGGUCAACACUGUUAAAUACUCCUAGGAAUUCAAGAAAAACAAAUCUGAAGUCUUCACUGGAUUUGACAAUAAGGAAGUUAUUGUUAACCUUUACAUAGCAAUAUUAUUGGGCUAAUGGGGGGAUUCAAAUUAUGAUGAAUUGAGGAGUAAAUGAGCAAUCAAGAAACAGAUGAAUAUAAAUUCAAGUUGGAUGAUGAAGGAAAAAACUGGAAAAGUAGUAGCUAGAAGUUAUAGGGAUUUUCUUCCCUCCCUCCCUCCCUUCAUUCAUUUCUUUCUUUCUUUCUCUUUCUCUCUUUCUCUCUCUCUCUCUUUCUUUCUUUCUCACCCAGGCUGGAGUGCAGCAGUGCAAUCGUGGCUCACUAUAGCCUCAACUUCCCAGGCUCAAGCAAUCCUGCUACCUCAGCCUCCCAAGUAGCUGGGACUACAAGUGCACACCACGCCUAGCUAAUUUUUGUAUUUUUUUGUAGAGAUGGGGUUUCACCAUGUUGCCCAGGCUGGUCUCAAACUCUUGGACUCAAGCGAUCCACCAGCCAUGGCCUUCCAAAGUGCUGGGAUUACAGGCAUGAGCCACCCGCUCCUGGCCUGGGAUUUUCUUUCUAAGAUGAAAAAGACUUGAGCACAUCCACAGGUUUGGGAAAAAGUCAGCAGAGUGGGAGAAGCUGAAAAUUGAGGAAAGAGAGGGGAUAAUUGAUGGCAGGCUCAGGGUAUACACCUGGGAAAGGACCAAGAAUUUAAAUGGAAGGAUUAACUUUGAAACAGUGAAGGCUGCAAUACCUCUUUCUCUGAGACUGAAAAGAAAGUGAUACAAUAGAUCCAGAAAUAAAUAAUUUAGCUAGGGAGUAUAAUAGUUGAGGGAUUUCUUACUUAAUGAUUUCUAUUAUCUCUGUGAAGUAAGGUCUUUACUGAAAGUGAAGGGGAUGAGGAUUGAAUGAAAAACUUGAAGAAAGAGAAGAAAACUUAGAUACUGCAAAGCAUUAUGGAAUAUGCUGCUAAGCAAAGACAGAUACAUAGAUUACUAAGGGUAUUAAAGGUCUCCAGCUAAGACUGAAUGCCACAAGAGUUUGUGGCAGCUUAGAUACCAAUCUCUGUGUCUAUGCAGUUUUCCUUAGGACCUGUUAGCUGCUCUUGUCUUAGAAUGAAGAAGUCAGAUUGUACUAUUGUUUUAAUUUGAGAAGUUUCAGGACAAGUGCAGGAGAAGGACAAGGAUGCCUGAGAUGAAAGUAUGCUGGUGAGAGAGUAGCCUGAGUGGGUAAUCAUGAGGUUCAGACUGAUCCAUUUGGGAAGUGAUGGGCUUAUUGGAACUGAAGGAAAUAAAGUCAGCAGUUUUCAGUGGGCUAAGUAACAAAAAGGUGGAAGACAAGACAUGGAGUGUUGGUUCUGGGAGUGGGAUAUUAGAGUAUUCUGUUUGGGGUCUAGAAGUGCAUUGCUGCAGGGAUUUGGGGGUCAAGAUAAUCAAAACUAAAAAGAACAGGACAAAAGCAUUAAUCAGUGAUCAGAAACUCUCUUUGGCCUAUCUCAAAUUUGGCUUUACUGUCCACAUUUCUUAGCAAUUAUCCUUAUUAAAAUCACUGAUAUUAUUUUGACUUCUAAUUAAAGAAUUUUGUGGACUCUUUCUUGACCAUAGCUUCUGACUCAGAAGAUUCCUAAUUACACCAGACCUGCUCUCCCAAUCUGUGUGUAUAGGAUAUAUUCUUUUUCUGGUUUUCCUCCUACCUUUUUGUUUCCUUUGAAGGAUCUAUCAGUCUAUAUUUCCUACUAAAACUAUAGAUUUGGCUUCUAAAGGUUAACCCUUAAUCUCCUGUUUUCUUCACAUUUAAAGACCCUAGCGAGGGCUUACCAACCUUUUUCAUGUCAUGACACAAAAAAAUGAUAAUAUUUGUCAUAUACACUAGAGAAAAUGAAGGAAGCUGUUUGAGGUCAGAGGUGACCUGCAUAGGGACUACGAAUGCCCUGAGGGUUAAGGCAGUUAUUUCUGCCCUAAGCAAUUUUUACUUACUUCCAUGAGCUCAGACUGUUGGUAUUCAGAUACCUGAGCUUCUCUUUCACCCUUGACAUUUCUCUCCUGGUUCAUUCUUAUUCUUUUACUUUUUUGGCAAGACUGUCAUUAUAGACAUCAAUCAGUAACAUUUUAGACGUCAUGACUGGAUCUCACAUCGGAUUUAUGCUUAUGAAACCUCUCUACUUGUAAUUGUUUCAUUUUUGUCUACCUAACAUCUUGACAUUGACAAGACCAUGCCAGAUGAUGUCCAAGGCACUGUUGCAACCAUUUAUACAAGCAGUGAACAGCUUCAACUCUUUGCAUUUGAAGCAGAAGUCAAUGAGAACUUUGAGAUGGCAGCAGCAUAUUAUAAAGAGAGAUUGGUCCGUGAGCCCCAGAAUCUGGAUCACUGGUUGGACUAUGGUGCCUUCUGCCUCCUAACUGAAGACAACAUCAAAGCACAAGAGUGUUUUCGGAAAGCCCUUUCCCUCAACCAGAGUCAUAUCCACAGCUUGUUGCUGUGUGGUGUCCUGGCUGUCCUGUUGGAGAACUAUGAGCAAGCAGAAAUUUUCUUUGAGGAUGCUACUUGCUUGGAACCAACUAAUGUUGUAGCCUGGACUUUACUUGGUUUGUACUAUGAAAUUCAAAACAAUGAUAUUCGAAUGGAAAUGGCAUUUCAUGAGGCCUCCAAACAGCUUCAGGCAUGGAUGCUUCAGGCACAAGUAACAAAGCAAAAGAGCACUGGUGUUGUAGAAGACACUGAGGAAAGAGGGAAGAGAGAAUCUAGUUUAGACCCUUGGGGAAUCACAAAUGGUUCUGCAACAGCAAUCAAGGUGGAAGCCCCAGCAGUAUGUGCACAGAGUGCUUGCACAUGAGCUGUUAUGCCCUCAAGGAGGCCCCAGCUGUGAAUAUUACUUGGUGCUGGCCCAAACACACAUUCUUAAGAAGGACUUUGCCAAGGCAGAGGAAUACCUUCAACAAGCAGCCCAGAUGGACUACCUGAACCCCAAUGUCUGGGGCCUGAAGGGCCAUCUCUAUUUUCUGAGUGGAAAUCAUUCUGAGGCCAAGGCAUGCUAUGAACGAACCAUUAGCUUUGUAGUGGAUGCUUCUGAGAUGCACUUCAUCUUCCUGCGACUGGGGCUCAUCUAUCUGGAAGAGAAAGAGGUUGGACGGCAAUUAGAAGCUGAGCAGGCCUACAAGUACAUGAUCAAGCUGAAAUUGAAAGAUGAGGCUCUGCUUGCAGAGAUCCACACACUACAGGAAACAGUUGGCUUUGGAAAUCCAUCUUUCUGAUACCCCUCCAGCUGAACAAUUUUCUGCAUGGGACUCUGAGUUCCUUUCCUUCCCAGAGAGUUUUACCAUAUGAAGCCUGGAGCUGGAGAAUGAAAGAAUCUUCACUAUAAACAGAGACCCAUUCAUUUAUUUCCAUUGGCUGUGUUACUGGAUGUUUUACUGGUUGACGAGAAACUGGGUCACAAUAAAAAAUGGAGAUAUGAAACUCAAAA
rnacentral:sRNA from 1 species